rnacentral:rRNA from 1 species
UACGUAGGGUGCAAGCGUUGUCCGGAAUUAUUGGGCGUAAAGAGCUCGUAGGCGGUUUGUUGCGUCGGCCGUGAAAACCUGCAGCUUAACUGUGGGCCUGCGGUCGAUACGGGCAGACUUGAGUUCGGUAGGGGAGACUGGAAUUCCUGGUGUAGCGGUGAAAUGCGCAGAUAUCAGGAGGAACACCGGUGGCGAAGGCGGGUCUCUGGGCCGAUACUGACGCUGAGGAGCGAAAGCGUGGGGAGCGAACAGG